rnacentral:rRNA from 1 species
UACAGAGGUCCCAAGCGUUGUUCGGAUUCACUGGGCGUAAAGGGUGCGCAGGCGGCCGUGUGUGUGAGGCGUGAAAGCCCGGGGCUUAACCCCGGAAUUGCACCUCAAACUACAUGGCUAGAGCAUUGGAGAGGGUAGCAGAAUUCAUGGUGUAGCAGUGAAAUGCGUAGAUAUCAUGAGGAAUACCAGAGGCGAAGGCGGCUACCUGGACAAUUGCUGACGCUCAGGCACGAAAGCGUGGGGAGCAAAAGGG